GGCUGUUGCUAUUGAAAGCACUUGACUAUGAUCUGGAGAAGCCUAUGCAGCCACUACACCUUUGUUGCAGUGUUUGCAAACAAAAGUGUGAAUGUUCAGAUUGCUUGUACGUUCUUAUGGAAAAACUUUAGAUGGCCAAUUUAUAUAUACAGCUGUUUAAAUUAAGGUUGUCAGUAACAAUAGUUAAAUGUACAUGUAUAGAAUUAUACAAAUAACAUUUUUAAUUUAAUGUAUUCAAGUGUUUAACACGUCAGUAUAGCCUCAUGUGAUUACAAAUACCGGUAUAGUAUUUGAAUAUACUGUAUGACACCAAUGAAUAUAUUUGUAAUCCCACAAGUCCAUGCUGACAUGUUAAACAUAUUGUACAUUUAAUUAUGGUUAGAAUGGUUACUGCCAGCUGUAAUCCACCAUAAUAAGAAAGAUGGUGGAUGUCAAUUUUACCAUAAUGCUCUGAAAAGCUGUUUACUACCAUAAUGCUCUGAAAAGUUGGUUACUAUAACUGCUAUUAAUUAAAAGACAGUUUGACUUGUAACAUCAAUUUAUGGAUCAACAACAUACUUAUUACAAUUUUAUGAUCUUGUUGCUAUUCCUUUUCAGGUAUUUUCUUAAGAUAUCCCAAAGAAUUAUGGUAAAAUUGACAUGCCGCCAUCUUUUUCAUUAUUUUUCAUAGCUGUUGUUAUUUUGUAUAUGAACUAUUUAUAUUAUUACUCUUGUUAUGUAAACACAACUAUCUUUGAGAAUGGGCUUAGGGAGAAGUUUGUAGGGAGGGGUCCCUAUACCCUACCUCCAGGGAGAGUGUAUAGGAAGGGAGGGGAUAUAGGAAGGGAGGGGAUAUAGGGAGAGAGGGUAUAGGUUUCCAGGGGGUUGAAGGGACAGGAGUAUAAUAUUACUCUAACUUGUUCUCUUAAAAGUGUAACAUUUUUAAUAAGAUUAUUUGUGAUUUAGAUUUGUGUGUCAUAUAUAAUUUUUUAAAAUUAAUUAAUCAGCAUAUUUAUGUACAGUAAUAUUUAUUAGAGAAUCAAACAUUUUUUACCCUAUUCUUUACCGGUAUGUGCGAC